AACGAACGCUGGCGGCAGGCUUAACACAUGCAAGUCGAACGGGCGUAGCAAUACGUCAGUGGCAGACGGGUGAGUAACACGUGGGAAUAUCCCUUUCAGCUCGGAAUAACUCAGGGAAACUUGAGCUAAUACCGAAUACGUCAUUCGGGAGAAAGAUUUAUCACUGAGAGAUUAGCCCGCGUCUGAUUAGCUAGUUGGUGAGGUAAUGGCUCACCAAGGCGACGAUCAGUAGCUGGUCUGAGAGGAUGACCAGCCAGACUGGGACUGAGACACGGCCCAGACUCCUACGGAAGGCAGCAUUGGAGAAGAUUGGACAAUGAGGGCAACCCUGAUCCAGCCUGGCCGCGGGAGUGAUGAAGGCCUUAGGGUUGUAAAGCUCUUUGGCUAGGGAAGAUAAUGACUGUACCUAGAGAAUAAGCCCCGGCUAACUUCGUGCCAGCAGCCGCCGUAA
rnacentral:rRNA from 1 species